rnacentral:tRNA from 2 species
GGUAGGAUGGCUGAGAGAUAAGUGAUGGAUUGUAGCCCCACGAACAGAGGUUUAAGUCCUCUUCUUACCA